CUACGGGUCGCAGCAGUGAGGAAUAUUGCACAAUGGGGGGAACCCUGAUGCAGCAACGCCGCGUGGAGGAUGACGCAUUUCGGUGUGUAAACUCCUUUUAUAUGUCAAGAAAAUGACGGUAGCAUAUGAAUAAGCGCCGGCUAACUCCGUGCCAGCAGCCGCGGUAAUACGGAGGGCGCAAGCGUUACUCGGAAUCACUGGGCGUAAAGGACGCGUAGGCGGGUUGAAAAGUCAGGUGUGAAAGCCUACAGCUUAACUGUAGAACUGCACUUGAAACUCUCAACCUAGAGUAUGGGAGGGGCAGAUGGAAUUAGUGGUGUAGGGGUAAAAUCCGUAGAUAUCACUAGGAAUACCUAAAGCGAAGGCGAUCUCCUGGAACAUUACUGACGCUAAGGCGUGAAAGCGUGGGGAGCAAACAGGAUUAGAUACCCGUGUAGUC
rnacentral:rRNA from 1 species